CUCGGCUCAGCCGAGCCCUGCCCCCGCGCGGUCCCCGCCCGGCACGCCCAACUCUCCAGCGCCGCGUCUCGGCGAUGACCACCACCCGCCUCUGCGCCCCAGGACGCGCGAGCCGAGCCACCUCGGCGGCAAGCAGCGCCGGAACUUGGGGGCGCGGUGGAGGAGAGGGCCGGCGCCCGGUCCUCUGGAGAGAGACGACUCCACGGAUCUGCGGCCCGAGAGACGCGUCUCUCGCCCCGGGGCCGGGUGGUUCGCGCAGGAGGAAGGACCGCGAAGCGGGCUCUGCCUGGGCUUGCCUGGGCUUGUUCAGAGCCGGGCUGCUUCCCUCAGUGGCCGCGCCGAUCUGGGGGGGAUUUCGAGAUUUUGCGGGAGCCUUGGAGCCAAAUCCCAGGGAGGAGGAGGCCGGAAGCCUGCGCGACCAGUUCGCCGUCCAAGGAUGGAGCCCAGGAGUCUCCCAAGACCCAGGACAUCCUCCCCAUUGAGUCUUCAGCACCCAGUGCAAGUAAUAUGUUAUGGGUGGGUUCAUGAAGGGGACAUUCGUGCUUUCUGAAAGAUGUGCUGUGGAAUUACAAAGGUUUCCUGAGUGAAUUUCCACAUCUCCAUGGAUGGAGAACGGGUUCUGCUUUCCCAGGAAUGGUAACAUUCAAGAGCCUUGUUCUCAGAAUCCACUUUUUCUUUAAUGCUUAAACUUUAAGUGCCAGGAACUUAAAAUGCCCCUGGUGAAGAUGACUUCUGGUUUUCUUGUAUUCUGGUUCUCUGUAUUUUCUUGCAUUCCUGGUUCCCGGGGCCAGCAGCUCUAGCUCUAUAGCAAGAUGUACUGGGUUCGGGGCUGAAAAGGGCCCCUGUAAGAAGAGAAGGGCUUCCCAGGUGGCACUGGCGGCAAAGAACCCUCCUGCCAAUGCAGGAGAUGUGGAUUCGAUCCCUGGGUGGGGAGGAUCCCCUGGAGGAGGGCGGGGCAACCCACUCCAGUAUUCUUGCCUGGAGAAUCUCCAUGGACAGAGGAGCCUGGUGGGCUACAGUCCAUAGGGGUCACAAAGAGCAGGAUAUGACUGAAGCGACUUAGCACACAUGCAAGGAGAAGAGAAGUGAAGCAUCAUCACAGCUCUGAACGGAACUCCGGGCCUUUUAAACAUCUUGUGUUAAUGCAGCAGAAGCUCGCCUGGCAAGUGGACCAAAGGUGUUUCAGUAGAAAGGAAAGUACAUUGAAAAAGUAUGUUCACAUGGGUUGUGACUUUCCAGUAAAGUCUGAUUCCAUGGAAGACUGCUAACUUGGUGUAUUUUGUAAAUUUCAUGGAAUGCAGUCGGAUUUGAGGCACUGACUGAUUAUUCACGCUAGCCUCCUGUGUCUUUUGGAAAAGAUUAUUCCUCAGGUCCCGGCCUCCUAUCUCUGGAAGAUUGUCCUCUCCAUCUGAAAGCCCUGACUGAUGAGGUGUGGUGUCUGGGGUGGGAGGUGGGGGGAGGGGAGUGAGGCAGCCUCCCUAGGUAGACCCCUUCAUCAAGGUUGCUGCCUAGAUUCAGACAAUGGGGUUCUGCUUGGAAAUCAGGGGGCAGGGGCCGCUUAGCAGAGGCUGGUGCAUCUAGUUUGGCUUGGAUACUCCCAGCCCCCCAUCUUGCUUUUUGGAGCCAUCUUUUUUUUGGAGGUUUGCUGCUCUGAGCAGCUUGUAGGGUCUUAGAUCCCCCCCACGAGGAAUCGAACCCAGGCCUGGACACUGAAAGCUCUAAGUCCCAACUGCAGGACCACCACGGAAGUCAUUGAGGCAUCUUUUCUUCCCAGACUGUUUCUGAGCCUGAGGGUGGGCUGGACCUGGAUCUGACAGGCCCCUCAUCUCCAUCCUUCCCACACUCUGUGACACCUGCUCUAGACCUGUGCCAGGGAUGAAGACAUGCCCUGUCCCCGUGUAAUGCACAGCCCUCCCACCCUCAGUAGUGGCAGAGCCACACUUGGACUGCAGCCGGAGAGCGCCCACACUGGCCAGGCGUGCCGCUGCCCCUUGGUCUACAUGUAGUCAUCUUCACAGUGGGAAACCUGCCUCUGCUUCCAGUUCCCAGGGUCCUCUGCCUGGGCCGGCCUAGGCUGGGAGUCCAGGGAGGGGGAGACUCAGACCCCUCUUGUCCCUGUGCUCACGGGAGGGCAUGGUCACUGCAGGAAGUGACUUUGGCCCCUUCCCAAACCUGCUGGAUCAGAAGCUCCACUGUGGGGCUGGGAAACUGCCCCUUUCCAAGAUCCCAGGCAACUCUUACACACAGGAAAGCCCAUGCUCUGACCUGAUGAAUGCGUUCUGCCAGGACUUACCUUUGGGGUAGAAUUGGACGUAUUUGGGGCGUUUUUCCCACACUAAAAAGAUAACGCCUGGCUUGCUUUUAUUUUUUAAAUAUUUAUUUCUUUGGCUGCACUGGGUCUUAGUUGCGGCUCGUGGGAUCUUUGAUCUUCACUGUAGCACAUGGCACCUUUGGCUGUGGCAUGUGGGGUCUAAUUCCCUGACCAGGGGUCAAACCUGGGCCCCCUGCGUUGGGAGUAAAAAGUCUUAGCCAGUGUACCACCAGGGAAGUCUCCUGCCUUGCUUCGUUAGAAUACAGACAUGUUCACCUGUUUGGGGGCAGAAGACUGAGGUAAGCAGUCAUUCCAUCAGCCCCACUGGACAUUUUGUAGCCAAGAAAGGAUAAGCCUGUGUGCCCUCCUCCUACAGCGUGUGUGUAGGAUGCCCUCCCAGGGGCUUUCUCCUCUCUGGCAGAGAGAUUCCUCUGGCUGGGGAGCUGCCUUACUCUGUACCCCCUUGCCUGGAACACAGGUUUCUAGGACUUCCCUUGCUGGGGUACAGAACACCCGCUGCAUGUGUCCCCCCUCCCACACCUUGGAUGGUCUGCAUCCAAAGCCGUGAGUCACGCAGUCUUCAGGCCGCCUCUCUGUGAUGGUCAGUUUGAGGCGUCUAUGUGAGCAGGCUGUGGGACCCAGGAACCGAGCCAGACACUAGUCUGGGUGCUGCUGUGACGUUUUGCAGGUGGGUCAUCAUCCACCAUCAGUUUACUCUGAGUGAAGAUCAUCCAGGAGAGUUGGUGGGCCUCAUCUAGUGAAUUGAAGGCCUUAAGAGCCCAGCUGGGACCCAAGAGGAAGAAAUUGUGUGGUUGGAUGGCAGUACCUGCUCUGGCCCAGGAGUCUCCAGCUUGCUAGGCUGCCCUGCAAACUUCAGCCUGGCCUAGCAGCCCCUGUGAGCACAUGAGCCCACUCCUUGACAUAAAUCUUCAUCCAUAUUUCCUCUGUCAGAACUCUGAUGGAUCCACUCUACACUGUGCCCAGGAUCUGGGAGCAGUCACUGCUGCUUUAUUUUGUUGCUUGCUUUUUUUUUUUUUGGCUGCACUGGGUCUUUGUUGCAGGGCAAGGGCUUCUCUCAUUGCAGCGUUUGGGCUUAGCAGCCCCCCAAGUCAUGUGGGAUCUUAGUUCCCUGCCCCUGCGGAUCAAACCCACAUCCCCUGCAUUGCAAGGUGGAUUCUCAACCACUGGGCCACCAGGGAAGUCCCCAUGAAUUUUAAACUAUUAUCAUUUUCUAACUUCUCAUCCAGGGAAGUACUGGCUUGUUUUUCCUCCUGAUCAGUGUGGGUCGUGGGCCACCCCUGCUGGAAUCUUUGUGAUCUCAGCUUUCUCCUCCAUCCUCUUUCCUCCCCUCCCCAUUUCUUUCUCUGCAGGUUUCAAGCAGAGGCAGGACAGGCCUGCCCCCUGUCAUCGGCAGGGCCAGCUGUGAGUGUUUCUUUGGCAGUGUCUUAGCUGGUUGUUGUGAGUAAUAAUGCAGGAAGCAAUCAGCAAGUAUACUGCCCUAGAAGUGCUGCACGUUGUGGGCCCAGGAGGGAAGAAAGGGGCAAGACGCUCGAACCAUCAUGGGAUGCUGGGACAGGAUGUCGGAGGCUUUGCCCUGCCAUGGCAGCUGGUAAGGGCUGCUGGGGAAGCAAGCUCUUGGGCCCCUGGAGCUGCCUGCUUAUAACUGUUGGAGGAAAAAUGUGCACAGGCUGGGCCAUGGAUGGUUUCUGGCUGGGAGGAAUUUGCAUGUAGGAAUGAUAAUUGCCAGUGUUUAUGAAGCACUUACUAUGUAUGAAGCCCUGCAUCCUAGGGCUUAUGUAUUAUCUCAGGAGCAAGAAUCUGUUGUUACCCUGCCUUUCAGAGAAGAAGCGGAAGUACCAAGAGCAAAAGUAACACAGGAUGGGACUUCCCUGGUGGUACAAUAGUUAGGGCUCUGUGAUUCCACUGCAGGGGGCACAGGUUUAAUCCCUGGCUGGGCAGCUAAGAUCCCACAAGCCACAAAGUGUAGCCAAAAACAAUAAUAAUAAUAAUAAAUUUUAAAAGUAGCAAAAGAUGCAGUUGAUAGAAAGGGGAGCCAAGCAAUCUGGCUUUGAACUCUGUACUCCUAACUGCAGGCUCGUGUCCUUAGAGAUGGGCCUGUGAUGGUGUCACUGACCUGUGGGGACCCCCUUUGCCGAGUGAUUUGAAUGUGAACACCCUGUACUCUCUCCCUGCAUGAAGCAAAUUUCAAAUGCAAUCAUAUGCUUCGGAAAAGUUCCACCUACCGAUGCCAGCUUUGGGUCCAGCGAGCUGUGAGGCCUGCCAGAUUACCAUGACAACAGGAACUGGAUCCAAGCCACCAAAGGAUGGAGAGCCAAGACAGCAGUGGCUUUUUCAAGUCUUGGAUCAUCAGGCACACCCCAUGGCCUCCAGCAAGCCCGGGAUAACCCAACAGCAAUACAGGCCCUGUGUGUCCCCAGAGCCUGCCAAACCAGCUUGGGGUCCUUGCCGUCCUGCCAUUGGUAUCUACUUGCUGACACUGAGUGGUGAGUUCCCCAGUUCACUGUCCAGCUGAUUUUCCCCAUUGUUCUCCAAUAUGGUGCUUAUAGGAAUUCACCCGAAUCCCAGAGGCAAAGCCACGUGCCAGUGGCUGACUCCUUUGACCCCAAUGACUAAAGUAAGACAAGCCUCCAGGGUCUAUGAAGCGAUGGGUACUGUUGAUGCAGUCUGAGGACAGCACCGCUGUGAUCGGCCCUCCCACAGCCUCUGCGUGUCAUCUGCCACUCCACUUCCAGCCACUGCCCAGGGCACCUGCCCUGCUCGUGCCCACCCAACUGGACCCCAUCUCCUAGCUCUGUCUUGUCUUUCUUUGUACUUCUAAACGCUGGAAGGGAGAGGAGACUAUUUCCAUUCUGACCACUUUGUAAGAGUCAGAAGGGCCUUAGAAUGGAUUUCUGGGAUUUGAAAUUGAACCUUGGCCUUGACACACUCUGCCUGAUAGCCCCUCCUCCAGACUAAGCCAGUCCUCUGUCUCUUAUUGCUGGAGAGCAAAGCAGGCAGCCAGAUCUGUUCCUGUGGGAAUGGUCCGGUCCUCCUCUGCUCAGCUGCUCAGUGGGCUGGCUUCAGAGAGGAUCCCUUUGCAUGCACACUGCACUGGCCACGCCUGCGGCUGCCUGGCCACAGCUCCUCUCUGCUCCCCAGAGCCUGUGUGGGCUGCAGCAGGGCCAUCGCAUGCCUGGGAUGCCGGCUGCAGUGAUAGAGCCAGCCCAGAGCCCUCACGGGAGCUCUGACCAAGACAGCAUUUGGGAUCAAUUAUAAGCCAAAGUCUUUACAUUUUUUCCCCCAGUUUUAGGCUGAAGUAAAGAAUGCCUGCCUUCUCCAACCACCAACUGAUCUGGGAGCUUGAGCUUCUCAAAUAAAGGUACCAGACUCCUCUGUCCAUGGAAUUCCCCAGGCAAGAGUACUGGAGUGGGUUGCAUUCCCUUCUCCAGAGGAUCUUCCCGACCUAAGGAUCGAACCAAGGUCUCCCGCAUUGCAGAUGGAUUCUUUACUGUCUGAGCCACCAAGGAAUCCCAAAGGGACCACAGGUUUGAAUUAUGAUUUAACUAGACUGUUAAUUUGAGUUUAGGUAAUAUCAUUUGCAAAGUAGCCUUUUCCUGUCUAGCUUUGCUUUUAGUUAUACCAGCAAGGAGCAUCCUUGGUGGCCCAGUGGUAAUGAAUCCGCCUGCAGAAUAGGAGACCUGGGUUUGAUCCCUGGGUCGGGAAGAUCCCCUGGAGAAGGGGAUCAGGCAAACUACUCCAGUAUUCUUGGCUGAAGAAUUCCACGGACAGGGGAGCCUGGCAGGCUACAGUCCACGGGGUCACAAAGAGUCGGACACAACUUAGCGACCAACACAUGCAGUUAUGUCAGCACAGAAACAUGAUCUGCUUCUCACAUAAAGUUCACUUAUCUGUGACCUGUCUCAGAUGGAGGUCGCCUGUAGACAUCCCUGGAUGAUCAUUCAGAAAACAAACGUCAGGUUGUCCCCGCUUCUGUUUGUCCCUGCUUCUGUUUGGGUCUCAGAUAAAACUGAUGUGUUCAUGGCAGUUGAAUUUACUCCUGCAGUCUUUAGAGCGGAUGGAUAGAACAUUUCUGUCAUCUUUAUAUCUGAUGGUAACAGAAGACAUGUACUUGGAUAUUCAUCUAGCUCUUUAUCUCCUCUCCUGUGGAGGCGUGAGGGGGUGGUGUUGGCUCCACAGGAGUGAGUUUAGAAUAGACUGGUAAAGAGGGCUACUUCCCUGUCUCUGUCUGUCUCUCUCACCCAUACAGACACACCUGGAUGCACGUACGCACACACGCACUCAUGCACAUUGGCCUUGAAUCUGGGGAGUUCGGGGUCCUUAAGUUGAGUAUGUUCGGCCCUGGGGCAGAGCGCACUUCUUCUUUGGGAAUGAAGGGGCAAAUCCUAGUUUGUAGCUGGUGGGUUGGAGAGAGGGACCAAGAACUUCAUGACUGGACUUAAGUUUGGAGGCAGGUAGAGUUAAAUGCAAGUUUUAUGUUUUUUGGGGAAAGUAUCUGUUCUUCUUGACUGAGGCAAAGUGUAGGUUAAAACAUACAUUUGGUUAAAAUGUAUAUGCAGGUGUUUCUCUGGUGGUCUAGUGGCUAAGACUCCGUGCUUCAAGGCUGGAGGUGCAGGUCUGAUCAUGGUCAGGGAACUGGGCUGCCGCGUGACAUGAGGUGAGGCCAAAAAAACAAAAAACCAAAAAAAAUCACUUAAAAAAAAAUAUAUAUAUAUGUCAGCCUAUAUAUUUAAUAAGCUCUGUGGAUCAGUAAUAGCCAUUUCCUAGUUUCAGUAUUGUCCUACAGUUACUGAGAGAAACUGACUCAAAAGUAUAUAGGAUCUCUCUGUAUCUUUUUUUUUUGCAAUUUUCUAUAAAUCUAUGGUUAUUUAAAAAUAAAAAGUUACAACAUAUAUUUGACUAAAUGCUGUGUGGUGUCCUCGAUUGGAUCCUGGAACAGAAGAAAGACAUGAGUACAGAAACUGGUGAAACCCAAGAAAGAUCUUUUAACAUUUACCAAUGUUAAUUUCUAAGUUUUGAUAAUGGUUAUGUAAAAUGUUAACAUUUAGAGGAAACUGAGUGAAGGAUAUGAGGGAAUUCUCUUUGCAACUUUUCUGUAAAUCUAAAAUUAUUCCAAAAUUUAAAGUUUAUUAAAAACAAAAACAUGUAUGUAUAUAUAUAUAUAUAUGUAUGCAUGCACACAUAUGUAUUACAUUUAUAUUUAAACACAUCCACAAAACCAGUGUCCUUAAAAAUACACUUUCUUUAGGUGAAGCAUCAGAUGGUGCCUCUGAGGUGAGGCAAUAAUUAAGGGCCCUUUCAACAAAUGAACUGCAAGGUCAUUUAGUUCCCUAAUUUGUCUGUAUUCCCACAGGGACCCUACACAGCUCUUAAAACCCAAUAGGAACCUGAAUUCUCCCCUCUCUGAAUCAUACAAUAGGGAAAGUUCAUUGUAGUACAAUCUCAUUUUCCAGAUCAGAAACUGAGGCCCAGAUAAGAACUGAUGUAAUUUAAAUUGAGAUUUCCUGGAAUAUUUAAAACUGAAUUUCUUACUUUUUCUGUUUGACCAGCCUGCACUUGGACACAUACAAAAUAAUCAUAACUGUAACCUUUGUACGUUUAAGGGAAGAGGGGCAGGUGGGAAGGAAAUAAUCUUUGCCACUCUUUUCUGGGGCUCUCUCUCCCCAGGAUCAGUGGUUAAAAUUGGUGGGUGUGGUGAGGAAUCUGGUCAAAAUGAAAGCUUUAAUUCAGCACCUAGUCCGUGCCCUACACCAGACAGGGUGCUAGUAGGGAUGCCCAAGGACUAGGGGACAUUGGGGGAGUUUUGCUCCCCAGCGGCCUCUUAUAGCAGCAGCUGCUGGAUCCUUGGGAAAACCACUCACCCAACUAGAUGCAGUCAGGGGCUCCCCUGGUCAGUGUGAGUCGUGAGCUCAGGGUGCAGAUGAGGCGUACUUGCAGUUUGCCGGUCCCAGUGCACACAUUCAAAGGGGGAUCCUGUCACUCUGGCGCCCUGGAUCCCCCAAGCUCCUUGGUCCCAUCCUGCCUAAGUAUUCCUGCCAUCCGAGGAGCUGCCUUGUUUUCACUAGAUAUGAGUUCACCAGCGUCCCAUUUAUUGUUUGAAACUCACAAACUAAAUGAUAUGCCUACACAGAGGAAGGAGUGGUUCCUUCACUCUUCAUCCCCUGCAUCUCUCUCUGGACAUUACCUGGAGCCACUUUGGACAAAUCCAUCCUUUGCUGGAACUGGAAUUGCCAAAGUAAACAGCCAAAUACAUAGGCCCUUGAACUCUUUAACUAAGAGGUGCCUUGUGCCCCUUUGGUGUUUCUGUAGUAAUUGUUCAGGCUGGUACCUCCUCACUCCAUCCCCAGGAUCCUGAGGCAUCAUUCCAGAACAGAGCAUCAGGCCUUAGUCUAAUUUCCGUAAUGCACAGAAAUCACAGAUUAUCCUGUCUCUAAAUGACAAACUUUAAGGAUUGUCUUUUUCUAUUUGAAGUUACUGCUAAAACAUGGAAUACAGAUAGGAGAGAAGAGAUGAAACUAUUAACUUUUAAUAUAGAAGCCAUCUCCCCCAGCUUAUGGUCUGGAAGUUUCCACGAGGCUCAGAUCUGAAGGAGCAGGUUAUCUGAUUCUUGGUGCUGGUGACAAGUCAGUGGCUCCUGGUGAGGUUGCUGUGCCCUGGACACUGGCCUCACUCCUCCCUUUGCUGUUCCCUGAGAGCCAAGGCAGCUUCAGGAUAUGUAGUCUGUACAGUCAUCACAGGACCCUGUGCUUAGCAGGGCCUGCGUCUGGGGUGUCACCAGUGGAACUUGGUAAUGACUUUGGAACAAGGACUUGCAAUUUCACUGUGCACCUGGCCCAUGAAUUGUGUAGCCACUUUUGUCUAAUACCUGCCACAAGCCUUCAGGCUGGAGGUAAUGAGGACUCUGUUGUCCCACGUCAAACUCAUGACCCAGUUUGGGAUCAGGACUUGGUGACCACUUCCUGAGACAGCCUGACACAGAACAGGUGCUGCAGCAAAAGAUGGUGACCGACCCACCCAGAGAGUUGGGGCGAGGGAGGCUGGGUGGGACCAGAAUUAUUCUGGCUGAACCCAGGGCCUCUCAGGGGACACACACAAAUACAGAACCUGGGUCCAGUGCUUGGGGCUGCCUCUGACAGUCAUAAGAAACUGGCUCAUCAGAACUCAGGAAUGUUUCUUGUUUUGUGACUUGUUUCUGCUUGGGGACUGUGUUACUCUGCUAGGGCUGCACUAACAAAGAACCGCAGAAAAUCUGUCUUCUCACAGUUGCAGAGGCUGGAAGUCCAAGAUCAAGGUGUCAGCAGAGCUGGUCCCAUCUGAGGCCUGUCUCCUUGGUUCACGGAUGGCCCUCCUCUCACUGUGUCCUCACAUGAUCUGUGCCUGCCUGUGACCACACCUCCCUUUUUAUGAGAAUGCCAGUCAUACUGGAUUAGAACCCACCCUGAUGACCUCUAACCUGAUUACCUCAUUAAAGAACCUAUGUCCAGGGACUUACCUGGUGGUCCAGUGGGGUCCCAAGUUCAGUCCCUGGUCAGGAAACUAGAUUCCACAUGUCACAACUAAGAUCGAAGAUGCCGGUGCCACAGCUAAGACCCUGUGCAGUCACAGAUAAAUAAAUACUAGGGGGGAGAAAAAACCCAGUCUCCAAAUUCAGUCACAUUCUGAAAUCCUGAGGGUCAGGACUUCAACUAUGGGUUUGCAGAGUGGGGUCGGGAUGGUGGUGACACAGUUCAGCUCAUCAUUGAGAUUUUUCUGAACACUUCAAAGCCAAGUAUUAAUAGCUUAGCAGUAUCUUUCCCGUCUAGAGAUGCACUCUGGGGCCUGUUCUCUGUCCAUAGGAAGAGGCAGUGAAAGACCCAGGAGCCAACAGAACGUAGCCGUUGGAGAUUGCUCAAGGGCAUGGGGCGUGGUCACUUAGUACUGGCUCUCAGAAAGAUGCACAAGAGUGAUCAUGCAGAGGGCAGGGACCAUCUGUGCCGGAGUCCUGUGGGGCCUGAGCAAGAGGGGUGAUCGGAACCACAGGACUUGGGUCAGAGAUGGGAGAAGGCCAGCAAGCUCAGGGU
ensembl:lncRNA